rnacentral:misc_RNA from 1 species
CCAUGAUAUAUCACCACCACCUAGCCAUUUGCUCUCAUCAAGCUUGGGAUCCCAACACCCUAACAGGGUGAACUGUAAUUAAUUGUGUCAUCACAGGCAUAUACAGGGAAGAUCUGUUGAUGCAUCACUUUCGCCUCCCAAAGAAUUGCUUGUGAUCCUUUUGUCCCAACAGGCGGUUAAGUUCCACUCAACUGGAUACAAGUUUCAAGGAGAAGUUUGAAAUCAAGGUGAUAGGAGAAACAUCU